rnacentral:misc_RNA from 1 species
AAGUCGUAACAAGGUUUCCGUAGGUGAACCUGCGGAAGGAUCAUUAUCGAGUUUUGAACGGGUUGUUGCUGGCCUCAUACGGGGCAUGUGCACGCCUGACUUCAUCCACUCUUCAACCUCUGUGCACUUAUUGUAGGCUAGUGUGAAAGGUCGCAUUCAUUGCGGCUGGAAGCCUGCCUACGUUUUACUACAAACGCUUCAGUUAUAGAAUGUUUAUCUGCGUAUAACGCAUUUAUAUACAACUUUCAGCAACGGAUCUCUUGGCUCUC